GAUGAACGCUGGCGGCGUGCCUAAUACAUGCAAGUCGAGCGAACAGACGAGGAGCUUGCUCCUCUGACGUUAGCGGCGGACGGGUGAGUAACACGUGGAUAACCUACCUAUAAGACUGGGAUAACUUCGGGAAACCGGAGCUAAUACCGGAUAAUAUAUUGAACCGCAUGGUUCAAUAGUGAAAGACGGUUUUGCUGUCACUUAUCGAUGGAUCCGCGCCGCAUUAGCUAGUUGGUAAGGUAACGGCUUACCAAGGCGACGAUGCGUAGCCGACCUGAGGGGGUGAUCGGCCACACUGGAACUGAGACACGGUCCAGACUCCUACGGGAGGCAGCAGUAGGGAAUCUUCCGCAAUGGGCGAAAGCCUGACGGAGCAACGCCGCGUGAGUGAUGAAGGUCUUCGGAGCGUAAAACUCUGUUAUGGGGGAAGAACAAAUGUGUAAGUAACUAUGCACGUCUUGACGGUACCUAAUCAGAAAGCCACGGCUAACUACGUG
rnacentral:rRNA from 1 species